AGUUUGUUGAUAUAUAAUUUUGAUCUUUUGUAAGAUCAGUGUUGCCAAUAGAUUCAAAAAAUACUGAAGUUAACAUCUUUCAAUGAAAACAUUGCCAUAAUCUUUUUUCUAUUAUAUCACUAUUAUAUCAUAAAUCAUAAUUUAAACAUUAUAUAUUGUAUAAUAAGAGGAAGACACUAAUUUUACGUUAUUAUAUUCGCAAAAAAUUAUUAAAAUAUCUCAAGUAUAACAUUGAUUAUUAAGAUAUUACAAAAU